CUCUGUGCUGAUUGGACGGAGGCGGCGGGGCGAGCCCGUCGCCGUGACGACGGCAGGACUCCUCUGAACCGAGCCGCCGCCGCCGAGCGAGAAGCUGUUCAUGUCUCUGUUCCCCCGGUGGCCACACGGGGCACUGCACACACACACACACACACACACACACACACACACACACACACACACACACACACACACACUUCCUGUCCGUCCUCCUCUGAUCCGGAUCAGACCUUCUCGGUUCUCCUCCUAGUGGGCGUUCCAGCAGCUGCAGUGACAGGAAGCAGUGCAUUAUGGGUAGUAAACAAACAAGGAAAUAGACGCACAAAGAAACAAUGGAAGAGUCUGGAGGUCAGAGGUCAGACAAGCAGCAGCUCGCUGCGUGAGGGGCGGGACUUCCUCUGUGGGUCUGGACCAAUCAGGGAGCCGGUUGCUUCACUUCCUGUCUGCUCGGUGGUUUCAGGGCACAGCGCCUCCCGGCAGCAGCUGCUGGAACUGCCCUCAGGAACACACACACACACACACACACACACACUCCAAGGGGGCGGGGCCUGCUGCUGUCAGGUGAUUACAGUGGGUGGAGUCCGUCUGACAGGAGCUGCACAACACUACGCUUCACGCCGUGGAGCCCGGCGCCAGAACCCGGCCGGCUCCGCCCCCUCAGGAGAACCUGACUCAGCAGAUCCGGUCCCGAGUCAGCAGGCCGUGGACCCGGAUCAGAACCGGGACGACCCCGUGUGGCGCGCUGUGGGCGUGUCGUGGUGCAUUGUGGGAGUUGUGGUGCAUUGUGGGAGUUGUGGGCGUGUCUGUUCCGUGUGGUGUGAGUGUUGCUGGGCAGCAUUUCUCCCUCUCAGCCUUUUGAUACGAGUCCAGUCGCAAACGUCUAAAUUAAAGUUGACUAGAAAAGAGGCGGAGUCAUGUCUUCUGUACACACACACACACACACACACACACACACACACACACCAAAGAGGCGGAGCACCGUCUGACUGCUGGGAACAGUUUGCCUUCAUUGCUCAAGGACACAAUUGA
rnacentral:lncRNA from 1 species